rnacentral:rRNA from 1 species
AUUGAACGCUGGCGGCAGGCCUAACACAUGCAAGUCGAGCGGAGCGGCGGACGGGUGCGUAAUGCCUAGGAAUCUGCCUGGUAGUGGGGGAUAACGUCCGGAAACGGGCGCUAAUACCGCAUACUAUCAGCUGAGCCUCGGUCGGAUUGGCUAGUUGGGGGGGUAAAGGCCUACCAAGGCGACGAUCCGUAACUGGUCUGAGAGUAUGAUCAGUCACACUGGAACUGAGACACGGUCCAGACUCCUACGGGAGGAGUAAGUGGGGAAUAUUGCGCAAGGGGGGCAACCCUGACGCAGACAUGCCGCGUGAAUGAGGAGGGCCUUCGGGUGGUAAAGUUCUUUCGGUGACGAGGCGUUAAUCACAGAAGAAGCACCGGCUAACUCCGUGCCAGCCGCCGCGGUAAUAC